rfam:Erinaceus europaeus unplaced genomic scaffold scaffold00086, whole genome shotgun sequence
GGAUCUGAGGGUGAUCUGAUGGUGAUGUCACCCAUUGAUCACCAGGGUUUACAUGGAUCUGCUUGGGGUGUCUCCUUCCUCCUUCACUGCUCCAUGUGCACUCCUCCCCAAGCUGCAUGCUUGGUGGAAGAGAAACAACUUUAGUGGAAUAGAGACCAGCUGAUCUUCUGUAAAGGGUAUACAAGUAUGAAUCCUCAUAGUAAUUCAUACCUUUCAGAUAGUAGUUUCCAUGCUGUGGUUAUUUAAAUACUUUAAUUAUAUUAUAUAUUAUCUUCAAAUUAUUAAAAGAUUGUAAAU